UCUUCUACUCUUUUCAUUUUGUAUAUUCUCUUAUACAUUUAAAAUUCAUAUGAUUGUUUUCUCUUCGAGCUUUCUUCUCUCAACAGCUAUCAGACAACUUUUAUUAAUUGGACAGCCCUUUUUAACUUUCGUGGUUUGUGGUGAUUCUUACCUUCCUUUUGUAUAUUUCAUCAAUAAAAUGUUUCGUUAGGGAAUUUAUGUAAUGGAGUUGUACUUCUCAUUUGUUUGUUGAUUUUGAGAUAGAGCUCAAGUGUCCUCUUUUCAUUAAACAGUUUCCUGUGAAGACAAGCAUUUCGACAAGAUAUGAUUUUUGGCAUAACAUUAAGAUAAUAACUCAUGUUCUUCUUUCUUGAUGUAAAUAUUAUUUUUGUUUAUGAAGUGGAUGAUGUAAAUUGGUUUCUGACUUCUUGUUUUCCUUCACGUAUGAACUACCUUGACAUUUUGACACUUGUCAAGAACUCUUAAACUAGAUUGUCAGUUUCACAUUCUCAUUGAUUAGAUUAAUCUCGAAUAUUUUAUUGUAGGUACAGGGACUUUUAAAGUUAAUAUAUUGAUGAAAGCUUAGACUUCAGUAGAAAACUAGACUUGAGUGUUCUCGUGAAAUAUCCUUCAAUUUCUUUGAUGUAAAGGUUGGUUGGGGUAGGACCUUUAGCUUUCUUUCACCUCGUUUCUUUGCUAUAAAGUUUUGAGCAAUUAUGCAUCAAUUACACAAAUGUAAGCUGCCAUAAACUUUCAACCAGGACAGAGCAAGAAGAAAUUGAUUGAAGCUGGCAUACUCGUUGUGAGAGUCAAGCUCUCCUGUAGCUUGUUUAGAAGGCAAAGAGUUAACAAAGGAGAAAGGGCAUGCUGAAAUGGGGAAAUUAAGAAGGAUCUGAUAAAUGCGACUUCAGGUCUCCGUACAGGACGAGGGUUCAGGAAGCUUUCAAGACCGAGAGAAUUCUUUUAUCGCAAGGAAAAUUUUCUUCUAAGAGAUUUAAGUGAAGUUCAAAAAGAAAAAUCUCGUCUCCAAAAGUACUUUGCAAAGGAAAUGUUAUAGGAGAUGGAUACCUUCUCAUCCACUGCACUUAUAAACUAAAGACCCCAAUGUGAGCUUCUGUACUCUAGAGUUGUAUGUUCUUAGGAGUUCUAGGAGCAACCUUCACCAACUGUGUUGUGGUGUACCACCCCCUUUGAGAAGGAAGCUUCGAUUCUCUUGUUUAGUGCUCUUAAAAAUUUGGUUGCAAGUUUAAAUCUUAUCAUUUAAGAUGAAGAGUAUCACUUUUGGAGCACGAACUCUUGGCUUCUAGUUAAAAGAUGUAUGAAUAUCUUAACCGUUGAGUUGUUGAGUUAUACAAAUGUUUGAGGAUUAAAAUUAGUUCUCAAUAAUACUUAAUGUGUGCCUUUCUAGUCAACCUAACUGGAAUAGUGCUCCCAGUAGAUUCAGCAAUGAUGUUACUUAUGCUGGAGUUUAUUAUGGAUUUGCCUGUUUGUUUAUCCAAUAACUCAAAUAUGUGUGGAAAAAA